rnacentral:rRNA from 1 species
ACGGAAGGCAGCAGUGGGGAAUAUUGCACAAUGGGGGAAACCCUGAUGCAGCGACGCCGCGUGAGUGAAGAAGUAUUUCGGUAUGUAAAGCUCUAUCAGCAGGGAAGAUAAUGACGGUACCUGACUAAGAAGCCCCGGCUAACUACGUGCCAGCAGCCGCGGUAAUACGUAGGGGGCAAGCGUUAUCCGGAUUUACUGGGUGUAAGGGGAGUGUAGGUGGUUUGGCAAGCCAGAUGUGAAAGCCCGGGGCUCAACCCCGCGGACUGCAUUUGGAACUGUUAAACUUGAGUGCAGGAGAGGAAAGUGGAAUUCCUAGUGUAGCGGUGAAAUGCGUAGAUAUUAGGAGGAACACCAGUGGCGAAGGCGGCUUUCUGGACUGUAACUGACACUGAGGCUCGAAAGCGUGGGGAGCAAACAGGAUUAGAUACCCUGGUA